AGAGAAAUUCCGAUUUUAAAUAACUGGCCGUCCCGGAAAAGAAAUGUCGCCUCUCAGUGACGCAAUGUCCGCUCUAUACUUUGUUCCGGUGUAGACCAUAAUAUCACAUGGUGAAAUGCGGAAGUGGUUGUUAUGGAUCACGAUUACUCUUUGGCGAGAAUUGAAGUGCCAGUAAAACGGAAGCGUCCAUAUUUGGAUACACGCAGACAGUGUGACAAACGGAGGAAUAAAACCAGGAUAAAUAUCGGCCAGGCGUUUUCGAGAUGGAGAGAGCUGCGCGACAAUCUUGGACUUGACAGAGACUCUGCUCUCGCGAGUGUAUUGAUAGACAGGAGUCUCAGGUUUGGAACGGCCCUGUGUCUGAAGCCCCCGGACGCUCUCUCUUGAGAAGCCCUCUUGGAUCUACGUUUGCUUUUGCCUUCAUCGUCGUCAUCGUCAGUGACCCACUGGAAGAACGCGUCCCAUAAAGACGUCUCAGGCUGAGAACAUCACGUGAAAGGCAUUCGUCAGCUCAAAACGUUCUGAUGUUAUUUACUUGAAACAGAACCAGAUCACAAAGAUCGUGAAGCCGUGAACUCUUCAGCGACAUCUUUACGGCCCCUGAGAGCCUCUGUGUGCAGAGAACAUUUCAUUUGACUUUGAGAGUUUGUUUCAGGAGGUUAAAGAGA